CACCCCUUGGUGCAGAUAAGCCAUCAGGACACGAUUUAGUACACUCCCACAACCUGCGGGGGCGAUGGAAAGACCGUGAGGCUAAAAGGAG
ncrna:unclassified sequences RT-18 RNA